UACGGAGGGUGCAAGCGUUAUCCGGAUUCACUGGGUUUAAAGGGUGCGUAGGUGGGUCUGUAAGUCAGUGGUGAAAAUCUUCGAGCUUAACUCGGAAACUGCCAUUGAUACUAUAGAUCUUGAAUUUUCUGGAGGUAAGCGGAAUAUGUCAUGUAGCGGUGAAAAUGCUUAGAUAUGACAUAGAAACACCAAAUUGCGAAGGCAGCUUACUACGGGAACAUUGACACUGAGGCACGAAAAGCGUGGGGGAUCAAAACAGG
rnacentral:rRNA from 1 species